ACAGCAUGAGAUGAAAAUAUAUACAGGAUGAGAUAAAAAAAACUGCACCCAACUUCAGACUGCUGUCAUUUCUAAGCCACUCGUCCGACAGCUGUUAAAAUUAUUCCAGUGACAGCUCAUUAUAUUGUUUACAAGCGUACAAAAGCAUUUUGGUGAGAAUUUUCCAGAAAAAAAUUAUUCGUGGUGGAAUUCAAGCGUGAUAGUGUGAUUUCUUUAUAUUUGGCUGGAAAAUCACAAGUGGCUUUCAUUAGAGCACUCCAGCAUUUAAAUGUGAAUAAAUCUUUUGUGUCUCGUACCAUCGCUCGUUACCGUGAUACUGG